GUAGGGGGCGAGCGUUAUCCGGAAUCAUUGGGCGUAAAGGGUGUGUAGGCGGUUAGAUAAGCGAGAGGUUAAAGGCUAUGGCUCAACCAUAGUAAGCCUUUCGAACUGUUUAACUUGAGUACAGGAGAGGAGAGCGGAAUUCCUAGUGUAGCGGUGAAAUGCGUAGAUAUUAGGAGGAACACCAGUGGCGAGGGCGGCUCUCUGGACUGUAACUGACGCUGAGGCACGAAAGCGUGGGGAGCAAACAGGGAUUAGAUACCCUGGUAGUCCACGCCGUAAACGAUGAAUGCUAGGUGUCGGGGGGUCGAACCUCGGUGCCGGAGUUAACGCAAUAAGCAUUCCGCCUGGGGAGUACGAUCGCAAGAUUG
rnacentral:rRNA from 1 species